rnacentral:misc_RNA from 1 species
UUGGCGCGCAGCUCCGGAGCGCCGGGCGCCGGGUGGGUCCAGCUUCUUGGAUCUCGUGCGGGACUGAUUGGCCCGUCAGUCCCGGCAGGUUGGAUUGGGUCUGUCGGCGACAGAAUUGGAUCUGGCGAGCUUCCCGAAGCCCGGAGCGGCGUGUCUGUCGGGACUGAUAGCCGCCGGCGCCGCGGCGAUUUCCUAUCCGGGCGGCGAUGGCGAACCACGAGCUAG